GACGAACGCUGGCGGCGUGCUUAACACAUGCAAGUCGAACGGUAAGGCUCCAGCUUGCUGGGGUACACGAGUGGCGAACGGGUGAGUAACACGUGGGUGACCUGCCCUGCACUUCGGGAUAAGCCUGGGAAACUGGGUCUAAUACCGGAUAGGACCGCACCGUGAGGGUGUGGUGGAAAGUUUUUUCGGUGUGGGAUGGGCCCGCGGCCUAUCAGCUUGUUGGUGGGGUAAUGGCCUACCAAGGCGGCGACGGGUAGCCGGCCUGAGAGGGUGGACGGCCACAUUGGGACUGAGACACGGCCUAGACUCCUACGGGAGGCAGCAGUGGGGAAUAUUGCACAAUGGGCGGAAGCCUGAUGCAGCGACGCCGCGUGGGGGAUGACGGCCUUCGGGUUGUAAACUCCUUUCACCAUCGACGAAGGGUUUCUGACGGUAGAUGGAGAAGAAGCACCGGCUAACUACGUG
rnacentral:rRNA from 1 species